UUGUUUACUCUCUCUUUUCAUCAAUUUCUUUACCUUCUUUCAGCAUUUUCCUCGUAAUUUCGGUUUCGUCUAACGCUUAGCCGUCCAAAUAAUUGGCAAUUAUUUAAUUAAGAGUCGGAAAACCAAUCGAUAUUUUGCAUCUCGAACGUAUUAAUCCAGUCGCAUUUUCGGUGUCGAAAGCACAACUUAUCCAAUGAAAUACUUCCAUAAUUAAAGUGUUCUCGUACGAUAUAAAAUAUUUAUAUAUUACGUUAAUUAAUCGAAUUUUUUCCAAAUAUUAAACCUUGGUUGACGUUUCGUCUGCCGGACGCCGUACAGUCACCGCCGGUGUUACGUGCCAUCCCUAGGAGCGAGAACUAAAAUGAAAUAUACGUCUGGCCGCCGCCCUUUGGAGUCUUCGACUUUGAAAUUCUGCCGCUGCCUUUCCGGUUCCACCCGACUCCUCCGAAAAUUGGUUGGUUUUUUUUAAGUCUUCUCCGCCGGUCGCCGAGGGAAACUUUAUCCGCCUACCGACCGUGUCCGGUGGACUGUUUUUGUUUUGCCGUGCCGUGCACCUCGACGUAUUUCCGUUGGCAUGCGGUCGUGUGUUUUUUGUCGGUAAUUGUACAAAUUGUCGAAUAUCUGUACGUAAAAACAUACGUGUGUAAUGCGUGUUGGGUUCUUUGGUGGCGUAAUAAUUUCUCUCUCUCUGGCCGUCGUAAAUUUGUUAAAUGCCACGAAACAAAUUAAGCAAUUGAAGUAAUACUAUGUACGGUACCUGUAUGAUGUGGUAAAAUGAAUUGAUAAUAUAAUUUUGACCUUGGUUUUUGAAGAAACCUGCAUUUUCAACCUCUGCUUCUAAAGGUUGCCCGAAUGUCGGAACGAACCGACAAAAAUUAUCGCUAUCGACUGUACUCGAAAGUUUACGAUUUGAACAAUUGAUGAGUUUGCAAGCUCAUUUAGAGAGCUGACGAAAGACAGAUAAUGAUCGUACGGAUGGGAAGGCAUCGGUGCAGUUGGAAAUAUUUUGUAGUCGAUCGAGUACCGUGUAUUGGGCUUCUUGCUCUAAAAUGAAAACAUUAAAAAUGAACAUAUUAGAUUUUAUUAGGAAAUAUGAGAAAGUAUUUCCUAAUGAAAUUCGAUGUUUUCACUUUUUGAUACUAUUUACAAAACUGUUGUUAUUAAUUUUAGCAAAUUUUCGCGCAAAAACAAAAUAAUAAUUUUCUUUCGACCGAAAGAAUCGGAGAUGGAAAACGUCCCGCGGUUCGAAGAGUUGCUAGUUUUUGAACGACGAGAAUUUGUUCCAAAACGACACGUCCAGAAGAAUGCCAAAUAUUUUUAAGACCAGAUUAAUUUUAAAAUGAAAUGUCAAAUUGGUAUUUUUUAUGGAAAUAGAGUAAAAAGGACAAAGUGUCUGUGCUUUGAUAUACGAGCGGAGCAAGACUAAAAUUAUGGAUCGAUUCGUCAGUAAAGAGAAUCAAAACGUUCCGAGGAAAUAUGAAAUCAAAAUUGAUACGCGCGUGACAUAUCAAGCUAAAUGUUUUAAAAGCGCACAAAAGAUUAACAAAUUUUGCCAUUUCCACAACUUUUGAAGAAAUUAACAAUAAAGAAUGGCUUGACUUUCAAAAUUGAAGGAAUGAAACAAUUUGUUUACAAGAAGAAAGCUACAUAGUUUGUAUUAGUCCAAUAUCAUCUUCACGGGUAAGUAAAAGUUACACUACCCAACAAAAAAGUCUUUUUUUUUUUUUAUACCUC
rnacentral:lncRNA from 1 species